CUUUGCACAAAUCCUUGGGUUUUCAUUACUUACAAAAUAUGAAAAAAUGCCAAAAUGCUGAGCAAAAAGUGCAUAGGUGCUCCAUACAUUAUGUAGCGGCAUAUUGUUCUUUGACAGCAUUGUAUUCAACAGUCUACCCUUUUUUAGAUGGUCAAAAGCGCUUGUUUGAAAUCAGAGAGAGUGCCCAGGAAAACUCCUUUCGUCAUCGUGGAGAGUGUUUAAGCCGACAGUUUGGACUCAACGAUUUGAGAACCACGACUCCAGUGGCCGAGCGAAAGGUUUGCUCAACAAGGAAAGAUCUGAAAGAAUUAAUUUGAUAUUGAAGAUCUCUAAGAAUUCAAGAAGCCCUAGUACUCAGGCUAAUGCACAAGAGCCCGCAUGUACAAAAAAGUGGCCAAGUGCCUUCUCACCGGCGCUCGUAUUGCAUGUGUUUUCAUACUAUCUGAUUCUCGAGUUCUCUAAUGGAGUUUGGGCAAUUUGGUCCAUACUAUACUACUCCAAUGCAUAUUAAAAUAUGCGUUAAUGUCGAAAUGAAUUUCAAAAUUUGGUGAUAGAACAUAAAACAAACAAAGAAAAGAACAAAACUAAUACAUUUUCUUUUGACUAAUGUAAGUUUAAAAUUAUCAGUAUCAACUUUGAAAAAAAGGUAUGAUUACUUUUGUAUGUGCAUAUUAGUUGCAUAUAUGCAUAAUUGUAAAACCGAUUGCAAGGAAACUGAGUAUCAAUCCUUUAACGAUUCACGAAAGUAUUAGAAUACGAAGAAAAAGUUAACAGCAGUGCUUCUUUAAUUUGAAUGUAUUACCUGUGUUUCUAAAUCUCAAGACAUCAUGUAUCUUUUUACAAUUGUAGUAUUAGUAUGACUCAUUGUGUCACUAUAAACAAAAAUGAAAGGUAAGAAAAUAUAAAAAUAUGAUAUGAAUAAUUUGGGUAAAAUCUAUACAAUUAAAGUGUACAAACGAGAGAGUUUGUAGAUAUAUAAUGAC